AGGAUCUUAGGUUAAGUAAACCGUAAGCCUUCAAAGCUUUAGAUAGAGAAUAGUACUUUAGGUCUUG
rnacentral:tRNA from 1 species